UACGUAGGGGGCGAGCGUUGUCCGGAAUUACUGGGCGUAAAGGGUGCGUAGGCGGUUGCCUAAGUCAGAUGUGAAAUCCCCGGGCUUAACUCGGGUGGUGCAUUUGAAACUGGGUAACUAGAGUGCAGGAGAGGGAAGCGGAAUUCCUAGUGUAGCGGUGAAAUGCGUAGAUAUUAGGAGGAACACCAGUGGCGAAGGCGGCUUUCUGGACUGUAACUGACGCUGAGGCACGAAAGCGUGGGGAGCAAACAGGAUUAGAUACCCUGGUAGUCCACGCGGUAAACGAUGGAUACUAGGUGUAGGGGGCGUAGAGCCCUCUGUGCCGCAGCUAACGCAAUAAGUAUCCCGCCUGGGGAGUACGGCCGCAAGGUUGAA
rnacentral:rRNA from 1 species